GACGAACGCUGGCGGCGUGCUUAACACAUGCAAGUCGAACGGAAAGGCCCCUUUGGGGUUACUCGAGUGGGGAACGGGUGAGUAAGACGUGAGUAACCUGCCCUUGCCUUCGGGAUAACUUCAGGAAACUGGGGCUAAUACCGGUUAGGAAUCCUUGCUGCAUGGUGGGGGUUGGAAAGCUUCGGAGGUUUUGGCUGGACUCGCGGCUUAUCAGCUUGUUGGUGGGGUAGUGGCUUACCAAGGCUUUGACGGGUAGCCGGCCUGAGAGGGCGACCGGCCACAUUGGGACUGAGAGACGGCGCAGACGCCUACGGGAGGCAGCAGUGGGGAAUAUUGCACAAUGGGCGGAAGCCUGAUGCAGCAACGCCGCGGGCGGGAUGACCGCCUUCGGGUUGUAAACCGCUUUCAGCAGGGGCGAAGCUUGUGGUGACGGUACCUGCAGAAGAAGCACCGGCUAACUACGUG
rnacentral:rRNA from 1 species